rfam:Loxodonta africana unplaced genomic scaffold scaffold_29, whole genome shotgun sequence.
UGGAUUACUUUUAAGUGCACAGAAUCCUAUGCAAACUUUGAAAUGUCUUUUUGCUUUAUAUCUGAAAACGUGCAUGCAUGUGCAUUCAUGAAGGGGGGAGAAUGAUAAAUGCUCUCAUUUGGGUUAGAACCCCGACACAGUGUGCUGGCUGCUGUGAGCUUUGUUAUUACCAUUUUGGCCUGACAUAUGACUUGGAAAAU